rfam:Stegodyphus mimosarum contig105635, whole genome shotgun sequence.
GUCUUCGUGGUUUAAUGAUCAGCACACUCGGCUCGUAUUCGAGAGGUCUGAGUUUCGAGUCCCGGCGAAGGCA